rnacentral:rRNA from 1 species
UAUAGUUUCCAUGUCAGUUGUUUAUUACCUGGAUAUCCACGGUAAUUCUAGAGCUAAUACAUGCGUCCAAACCCGACUUUUGCGGAAGGGUUGUGCUUAUUAGACACUGAACCAUCCCGGGCUUGCCUGGUUUCGAGGUGACUGAUGGUAAUCGAACGAAUCGCAUGCUUCGGCGGCGAUGAUUCAUUCAAGUUUCUGACCUAUCAGCUUCCGACGGUAGGGUAUUGGCCUACCGUGGCUUUGACGGGUAACGGAGAAUUAGGGUUCGAUUCCGGAGAGGGAGCCUGAGAAACGGCUACCACA